rnacentral:rRNA from 1 species
GGUUAAGUUAGAAAGGGCGCACGGUGGAUGCCUUGACACUAGGAGUCGAUGAAGGACGGGACUAACGCCGAUAUGCUUCGGGGAGCUGUAAGUAAGCUUUGAUCCGAAGAUUUCCGAAUGGGGAAACCCACCAUACGUAAUGGUAUGGUAUCCUUAUCUGAAUACAUAGGGUAAGGAAGACAGACCCAGGGAACUGAAACAUCUAAGUACCUGGAGGAAGAGAAAGCAAAUGCGAUUUCCUGAGUAGCGGCGAGCGAAACGGAACAUAGCCCAAACCAAGAGGCUUGCCUCUUGGGGUUGUAGGACAUUCUAUACGGAGUUACAAAGGAACGAGGUAGACGAAGCGACCUGGAAAGGUCCGUCGUAGAGGGUAACAACCCCGUAGUCGAAACUUCGUUCUCUCUUGAAUGUAUCCUGAGUACGGCGGAACACGUGAAAUUCCGUCGGAAUCUGGGAGGACCAUCUCCCAAGGCUAAAUACUCCCUAGUGAUCGAUAGUGAACCAGUACCGUGAGGGAAAGGUGAAAAGCACCCCGGAAGGGGAGUGAAAGAGAUCCUGAAACCGUGUGCCUACAAAUAGUCAGAGCCCGUUAACGGGUGAUGGCGUGCCUUUUGUAGAAUGAACCGGCGAGUUACGAUCCCGUGCGAGGUUAAGCUGAAGAGGCGGAGCCGCAGCGAAAGCGAGUCUGAAUAGGGCGUUUAGUACGUGGUCGUAGACCCGAAACCAGGUGAUCUACCCAUGUCCAGGGUGAAGUUCAGGUAACACUGAAUGGAGGCCCGAACCCACGCACGUUGAAAAGUGCGGGGAUGAGGUGUGGGUAGCGGAGAAAUUCCAAUCGAACCUGGAGAUAGCUGGUUCUCCCGAAAUAGCUUUAGGGCUAGCCUUAAGUGUAAGAGUCUUGGAGGUAGAGCACUGAUUGGACUAGGGGUCCUCAUCGGAUUACCGAAUUCAGUCAAACUCCGAAUGCCAAUGACUUAUCCUUAGGAGUCAGACUGCGAGUGAUAAGAUCCGUACUCCAAAGGCGAACAGCCCAGACCGCCAGCUAAGGUCCCAAAGUGUGUAUUAAGUGGAAAAGGAUGUGGAGUUGCUUAGACAACUAGGAUGUUGGCUUAGAAGCAGCCACCAUUUAAAGAGUGCGUAAUAGCUCACUAGUCGAGUGACUCUGCGCCGAAAAUGUACCGGGGCUAAAUACACCACCGAAGCUGCGGAUUGAUACCGAAUGGUAUCAGUGGUGGGGAGCGUUCUAAGGACAGUGAAGUCAGACCGGAAGGACUGGUGGAGUGCUUAGAAGUGAGAAUGCCGGUAUGAGUAGCGAAAGACGGGUGAGAAUCCCGUCCACCGAAUGCCUAAGGUUUCCUGAGGAAGGCUCGUCCGCUCAGGGUUAGUCAGGACCUAAGCCGAGGCCGACAGGCGUAGGCGAUGGACAACAGGUUGAUAUUCCUGUACCACCUCUUUAUCGUUUGAGCAAUGGAGGGACGCAGAAGGAUAGAAGAAGCGUGCGAUUGGUUGUGCACGUCCAAGCAGUUAGGCUGAUAAGUAGGCAAAUCCGCUUAUCGUGAAGGCUGAGCUGUGAUGGGGAAGCUCCUUAUGGAGCGAAGUCUUUGAUUCCCCGCUGCCAAGAAAAGCUUCUAGCGAGAUAAAAGGUGCCUGUACCGCAAACCGACACAGGUAGGCGAGGAGAGAAUCUUAAGGUGUGCGAGAGAACUCUGGUUAAGGAACUCGGCAAAAUGACCCCGUAACUUCGGGAGAAGGGGUGCUUUCUUAACGGAAAGCCGCAGUGAAUAGGCCCAAGCGACUGUUUAGCAAAAACACAGCUCUCUGCGAAGCCGUAAGGCGAAGUAUAUGGGGUGACACCUGCCCGGUGCUGGAAGGUUAAGGAGAGGGGUUAGCGUAAGCGAAGCUCUGAACUGAAGCCCCAGUAAACGGCGGCCGUAACUAUAACGGUCCUAAGGUAGCGAAAUUCCUUGUCGGGUAAGUUCCGACCCGCACGAAAGGUGUAACGAUUUGGGCACUGUCUCAACCAGAGACUCGGUGAAAUUAUAGUACCUGUGAAGAUGCAGGUUACCCGCGACAGGACGGAAAGACCCCGUGGAGCUUUACUGUAGCCUGAUAUUGAAUUUUGGUACAGUUUGUACAGGAUAGGCGGGAGCCUUUGAAACCGGAGCGCUAGCUUCGGUGGAGGCGCUGGUGGGAUACCGCCCUGACUGUAUUGAAAUUCUAACCUACGGGUCUUAUCGACCCGGGAGACAGUGUCAGGUGGGCAGUUUGACUGGGGCGGUCGCCUCCUAAAAUGUAACGGAGGCGCCCAAAGGUUCCCUCAGAAUGGUUGGAAAUCAUUCGUAGAGUGCAAAGGCAUAAGGGAGCUUGACUGCGAGACCUACAAGUCGAGCAGGGACGAAAGUCGGGCUUAGUGAUCCGGUGGUUCCGCAUGGAAGGGCCAUCGCUCAACGGAUAAAAGCUACCCCGGGGAUAACAGGCUUAUCUCCCCAAGAGUCCACAUCGACGGGAGGUUUGGCACCUCGAUGUCGGCUCAUCGCAUCCUGGGGCUGUAGUCGGUCCCAAGGGUUGGGCUGUUCGCCCAUUAAAGCGGUACGCGAGCUGGGUUCAGAACGUCGUGAGACAGUUCGGUCCCUAUCCGUCGUGGGCGUAGGAAAUUUGAGAGGAGCUGUCCUUAGUACGAGAGGACCGGGAUGGACGCACCGCUGGUGUACCAGUUGUUCUGCCAAGGGCAUAGCUGGGUAGCUAUGUGCGGAAGGGAUAAGUGCUGAAAGCAUCUAAGCAUGAAGCCCCCCUCAAGAUGAGAUUUCCCAUAGCGUAAGCUAGUAAGAUCCCUGAAAGAUGAUCAGGUUGAUAGGUUCGAGGUGGAAGCAUGGUGACAUGUGGAGCUGACGAAUACUAAUAGAUCGAGGACUUAACCAU